CGUGGGGCAAUCCCGUCCCCCUCUGUUCCGUGUUGAAGGCUUCCCACCGGCGAAGCGUCUGACCCACAGCUAUUCCACACCAGCCUCCUUGGAGACACUCAGCCUUGGCCCAGUGCGAAGGGGUUCAGUAUGCGGAUGCGUUUCUGCCUUGGGCUUGAACUCUCAAAAAAGUCAGGAGAGAGGAAACCCAAGAUCAUUGGGUGGCCUGGCUAGAGCUGGAAAUAAAAAUGUCCGAAAAAGGCAAACUACCAAGAAAAAGAAUCAUUCUACAGAAAGAAAAAAAAUGGACAAACUCAAAUGUUCAACAUCAGGAAAAAAAUCGAAUUAAAUGUAUUAUGGAACUUCAUGCAGCCAUAUGCAGUCUACGGGAAGGAAGGUGCUAAUGGAGUCCCUUAGUACCAUAGGGUGGCUAAGUCGGAGGUCGGAUAUCCAGCAAUCUGCAGUUUAACACGUGAACGUUGGUGUCCGCUGGCUCGCCUGUGACACGUUCCCCCAUGACUUUCCUCGGUGUGUGAGCAUCUUCGGUUAUGAUGGAGGCCACUCAAUUUAAUUCAUCCUGAUUUUAUUAUUCCCCUUUGUGCAUGAUGCCAAGGAUUUUACAUGUGCCCCCACCCCACCCCCGGCCGCUUCUUGGUCUCUGUCUCUCUUUAUAAGGUACUGGUACAACUGGUCUCCAAUUAAAGAUCCCCAAACGGUCUUCCAGGAACAAACGGGCGCACUAGCAACUUUGGAUUGGGACUGCCGGGAGCUUUCUCAACGUACCAUUGUGAAUACGUGGAUUUAACGUGUUACGGGUAGAUGAGAGUGUUCUAGUCACAUGUGCAAGCUGCCCCAUAUUUAACCAAUAAAAGCCCUCGCAUUUUA